rnacentral:rRNA from 1 species
CCAAACUCAAAGACUUAAGGUGGUUAUGGCAACGGGGCUCACCUCUUCCCAUUCCGAACAGAGAAGUUAAGCCCGUUAGCGCAGAUGGUACUGCUAUUUGUGGGAGAGUAUGUCACCGCCUUUC